AUGCCUCAGGACUGCGAGCCGGAUUUGGGGAGGGGCAGCAGGGAGUUUUAUGAUGCGAGUCCAAGGGGUAGAGCUUCUGAUAAACAUCUGAGAACGUGCAGGGGCUGCGUUCUUUCCUCCCUGACGCAGCUGCAUCGGCUGUCGGUGGGGCCUCCGUUUCUGUGGUUGUCAGACCGUGUCCUCCCCCUCCGGUGGGCCUCGGUCUGGUGUUUGGCUUCUGCACAGGAGGUUAACAGUCCCGUCUCUGGACAUUUCUGUGCCUGGAACAAAGGACGCUUAAGUGGGAGGGGCUUUCGUGUUGCUUAUUAAAUGCUUCAUGACCCCCAGCGCAGAUGAAAGGCAGCUGUGCUGGCGAGGAGGUGGGCCGCAGUGGCAGAGUGGCAGUGGGCGGGCCCCUCACGCCGUCUGGAGCACGCGGCCCCAGCUGCAGGGCGCCGGCUGCUCUUGCAGUAAGCGUUGGCAAGGGUUUUAUAUUUCACACAGUGCCUGGAAGCUUGUGCUCUAAGUGAAUACCUGACAGCGUCUGAUUUACAUUUGGAAAUAAAACACCCCGCAGUCCCCCGUCUCCUAAAGCAUGUGUGUGCUCGUUUCUGUUGUGUGACCGCCACCCUGAUGUAAGUGUGGUGGAUACGUGUCUGUGUCCACAUCCAACGCCCGUGUGGUCCAUCCUCGCACCAGGCUGGGGCGCUGCUGACGGAGGGCCAAUUCCAGGACCACUGUCCAGGUCAGCCUUGCACAGUAGGGGCCCUAAACCAGGGGGGGACAGAUGUGGUGUGCUCAUGCUGUCCCUUCCCGUUUCAGCAGCCCUGCCAGACAUCACUAAUUGAUUACAGCUUUUUCAGUCAAACCACAGAAUACAGCUCAGCACCAAAUUCCAGACAGCCACCGUCAGUCACUCAUCGCUGUCAUGCGAGUAGGAACCCAGCUGCUUUUUGUCACCCUUACCCCAGAAGGUCACUGCAAUGGCCGUUGGACAGACCUGUCUUUGCUGCCAAGAGAAAUAGCCAUGGCUGUCAUGUGGGCCACAGGACACACACCACACACGCGAGCCCUGCCAUGUUAUGCGCCCAAAACAGUGGGCUAAGUAACUCCCUUGCCACAAGAUGCCCAUUUCCCCUGUGACUGAAUCAGGGCUAAAUGCAUCUUGCCUUCCCUCAUAGAAAUGACCUAAAUGAUACAGUGGCGCACAGACAACCCCUGCCAGGAGGACUGCUGGAAAUGUGAUCACUUAUCUUCCUGACUGAUGUCUAGCCAUGUUUCUAUUUCUGUAUCCGUCUAGAGCGGUGCCUGUCUAAACCUUUGUUAUUGCCGGUGAUUCCAGGGAGGUGGGAAUCAGCCUUUGAAUGCAGUAGAAGGUAGCGUCAAGCUGGUGAGAAAUACCCGUGGGUGUCCCUGGGGCCGUCAGCUGUGAGUCUGUUCACUCUGCAGACAGAAAAUGACCCAGAACACUUGCAUGGCAAGUGGAUUCAUCCAGAAGUCCCACCUCUGUCUGGAUUUUCCCUUAUCUUCUGUUCUUUUCUCCCUCAAAUUAAGUUGAUUUUAUGGAAAGAGAAGGGGAAAUUAACAAGAGGAAUGAACCCUCUGCCACAUGUCAGGAUCUUCUAAUCAAUACAAUGAGCCUGAGACACAGACAUUAUUAGCUCAUUUUUCAGAUGAGGCAACUAAGGCUCAUUGGGUUUAAGGCAUUUACCCAUGAUCUUCACAUUACCACUCAGAUUUAUUAAUGGCAGAGCCAACAUUCAGAUUGAGGUUUGAAAAAAAUUACGUUUGAAAAGCAAGGUAUAUUACUUUUCCUCUUUUAACAACUCAUGAGGACAAAAGAAAAUUAUUAAGUUUUUCUUUGAAAAAUGUUAUCAAAAUCUUUUGCUCUAACAGCCCAAACGUCCAUGGGUUCUGAUUUAUGAAAGAACAUGUGACUUGCUCCAUGACUUUCUGCUGAAGAAUGCAUUGGAGAGAGUUAAGGUCAUUCUCUGCAUGAUGCAGUCAGACAAACUGGAGGUUACUGGGGAAACAUGCAGAUGUUAACAAACAGCAUUGUUGUGCAGACUGACUUGGGGCAACGUCAUCCUGUUCACGCGAUGUCACCGAGUCCAAACUCGUUCUGCUCACCAUAUGUCAGGUCAGUAAAUCGGGAGAUGAGGCACUGGGGCAAAGAAUAACGACUUUAUUUGGAAAGUCAGCAGACUGAGAAGAUGGCAGACUAAUGUCCUGGAGAGCCAUCUUCCGCAAGUCAGAAUUCAGGCUCCUUUUAAAAGAAGAGGGUG
rnacentral:lncRNA from 1 species